GGCUACCUGCAGUCGACGGUAGCACAGAGAGCUUGCUCUCGGGUGACGAGUGGCGGACGGGUGAGUAAUGUCUGGGAAACUGCCUGAUGGAGGGGGAUAACUACUGGAAACGGUAGCUAAUACCGCAUAACGUCCCAAGACCAAAGAGGGGGACCUUCGGGCCUCUUGCCAUCAGAUGUGCCCAGAUGGGAUUAGCUAGUAGGUGGGGUAAUGGCUCACCUAGGCGACGAUCCCUAGCUGGUCUGAGAGGAUGACCAGCCACACUGGAACUGAGACACGGUCCAGACUCCUACGGGAGGCAGCAGUGGGGAAUAUUGCACAAUGGGCGCAAGCCUGAUGCAGCCAUGCCGCGUGUAUGAAGAAGGCCUUCGGGUUGUAAAGUACUUUCAGCGGGGAGGAA
rnacentral:rRNA from 1 species